GACGUAGGGCGCGAGCGUUGUCCGGAUUUAUUGGGCGUAAAGAGCUCGUAGGCGGCUUGUCGCGUCGUCUGUGAAAACCCGCGGCUCAACGGCGGGCUUGCAGUCGAUACGGGCAGGCUGGAGUUCGGUAGGGGAGACUGGAAUUCCUGGUGUAGCGGCGAAAUGCGCAGAUAUCAGGAGGAACACCGGUGGCGAAGGCGGGUCUCUGGGCCGAAACUGACGCUGAGGAGCGAAAGCGUGGGGAGCAAACAGG
rnacentral:rRNA from 1 species